GCCGAGUUACAACUCUCUAAAACCCUGUGAACAGAACUUAACCUGUUGCCUCGGCGGAUCAGCCUCUGCUGCCCGUAACGGACGGCCCGCCGCAGAAACCCUAAACUCUGUUAUUAGUGUACUUCUGAGUACUAUACAAUAAGUCA
rnacentral:misc_RNA from 1 species